rnacentral:rRNA from 1 species
UACGGGGGGAGCAAGCGUUGUUCGGAUUUACUGGGCGUAAAGGGCGCGUAGGCGGCCACCGCAAGUCGAUUUGUGAAAUCUCCGGGCUUAACUCGGAAAGGUCAACCGAUACUGCGGGGCUAGAGUGCAGAAGGGGCAACUGGAAUUCUCGGUGUAGCGGUGAAAUGCGUAGAUAUCUGGAGGAACACCGGUGGCGAAGGCGGCAUCCUGGACCAACACUGAACGCUGAGGAGCGAAAGCCAGGGGA